UAACUGACAUAUUUGGUGAAGGGUUAUAUGAUUCUUGCAAGGAUGUAAAGUUUGGUACCAUGAAUUCUCGGGCUAUACAAUUUAUUGGUGCUGGUGCUCAAAAUUUUCAAGGUGGCUGUUGGUGAUGUUAUAUAUAUUGAAGCAAAUAGUGGAGCAGUAAAGAGGGUGGGCAGAAGUGAUGCUUUCGCUACAGAAUUUGACCUUGAAGCAGAAGAGUAUGUUCCACUUCCUAAAGGAGAGGUUCACAAAAAGAAGGAGAUAGUUCAGAUACAAAGAUGCUAGCAAAACUUCAUUUAAAUCCUCGACAAGACUAGAAUGUAUGAUGCAAGACUAGCAAAAACUUUGCCUCCAUCAGCAAGAGUUGGAUUUACGGUGAUGGAUGCAUGGCUUGCUUAUGCACCUGUGAAGGACAACCCUGAGGAUGCUGCUAAG